rnacentral:rRNA from 1 species
AUUGAACGCUGGCGGCGUGCCUAACACAUGCAAGUCGAGCGGUAACAGGUGUAGCAAUACAUGCUGACGAGCGGCGGACGGGUGAGUAACGCUUGGGAAUCUGCCUAUUAGUGGGGGACGAACCCGGGGAAACGUACGGGCGUAAUACCGCAUACGCACUACGGUGGAAAGCCGGGACCGCAAGGCCUGGCGCUAACAGAUGAGCCCAAGUCGGAUUAGCUAGUUGGUAGGGUAACGGCCUACCAAGGCGACGAU